AGGUGACCGGCCACACUGGGACUGAGACACGGCCCAGACUCCUACGGGAGGCAGCAGUGGGGAAUAUUGCACAAUGGGCGCAAGCCUGAUGCAGCAACGCCGCGUGAGGGACGACGGCCUUCGGGUUGUAAACCUCUUUUAGUAGGGAAGAAGCGAAAGUGACGGUACCUGCAGAAAAAGCACCGGCUAACUACGUGCCAGCAGCCGCGGUAAUACGUAGGGUGCAAGCGUUGUCCGGAAUUAUUGGGCGUAAAGAGCUCGUAGGCGGUUUGUCGCGUCUGCUGUGAAAUCUGGGGGCUCAACCCCCAGCCUGCAGUGGGUACGGGCAGACUAGAGUGCGGUAGGGGAGAUUGGAAUUCCUGGUGUAGCGGUGGAAUGCGCAGAUAUCAGGAGGAACACCGAUGGCGAAGGCAGAUCUCUGGGCCGUAACUGACGCUGAGGAGCGAAAGCAUGGGGAGCGAACAGGAUUAGAUACCCUGGUAGUCCAUGCCGUAAACGUUGGGAACUAGAUGUGGGGACCAUUCCACGGUCUCCGUGUCGCAGCUAACGCAUUAAGUUCCCCGCCUGGGGAGUACGGCCGCAAGGCUAAAACUCAAAGGAAUUGACGGGGGCCCGCACAAGCGGCGGAGCAUGCGGAUUAAUUCGAUGCAACGCGAAGAACCUUACCAAGGCUUGACAUAUACCGGAAACGGCCAGAGAUGGUCGCCCCGCAAGGUCGGUAUACAGGUGGUGCAUGGUUGUCGUCAGCUCGUGUCGUGAGAUGUUGGGUUAAGUCCCGCAACGAGCGCAACCCUCGUUCUAUGUUGCCAGCACGUUAUGGUGGGAACUCAUAGGAGACUGCCGGGGUCAACUCGGAGGAAGGUGGGGAUGACGUCAAAUCAUCAUGCCCCUUAUGUCUUGGGCUUCACGCAUGCUACAAUGGCCGGUACAAAGGGCUGCGAUACCGUAAGGUGGAGCGAAUCCCAAAAAGCCGGUCUCAGUUCGGAUUGAGGUCUGCAACUCGACCUCAUGAAGUCGGAGUCGCUAGUAAUCGCAGAUCAGCAACGCUGCGGUGAAUACGUUCCCGGGCCUUGU
rnacentral:rRNA from 1 species